CCAUCUCGGCCUUUUGGCUAAGAUCAAGUGUAGUAUCUGUUCUUAUCAGUUUAAUAUCUGAUACGCCCCCGAUUCGGGGGCAACGUAUUAAACGCAUUUUUAGAACAGGGAGCUGAAUAAGGGGCUCGCUCCGUUCGCUCCACGCAUCGACCCGGUAUUGCAGCGCCUCCGGGAACGGUGCCCCCUUU
ensembl:snRNA U2 U2 spliceosomal RNA